rnacentral:rRNA from 1 species
GAUUAAGUUAUUAAGGGCGCACGGUGGAUGCCUUGGCACUAGAAGCCGAUGAAGGACGUUACUAACGACGAUAUGCUUUGGGUAGCUGUAAGUAAGCGUUGAUCCAGAGAUUUCCGAAUGGGGGAACCCAGCAUGAGUUAUGUCAUGUUAUCGACAUGUGAAUUCAUAGCAUGUCAGAAGGCAGACCCGGAGAACUGAAACAUCUUAGUACCCGGAGGAAGAGAAAGAAAAAUCGAUUCCCUGAGUAGCGGCGAGCGAAACGGGAAGAGCCCAAACCAACAAGCUUGCUUGUUGGGGUUGUAGGACACUCUAUACGGAGUUACAAAAGAACAUGUUAGACGAAUCAUCUGGAAAGAUGAAUCAAAGAAGGUAAUAAUCCUGUAGUCGAAAACAUAUUCUCUCUUGAGUGGAUCCUGAGUACGACGGAGCACGUGAAAUUCCGUCGGAAUCUGGGAGGACCAUCUCCUAAGGCUAAAUACUCUCUAGUGACCGAUAGUGAACCAGUACCGUGAGGGAAAGGUGAAAAGUACCCCGGAAGGGGAGUGAAAGAGAACUUGAAACCGUGUGCUUACAAGUAGUCAGAGCCCGUUAAUGGGUGAUGGCGUGCCUUUUGUAGAAUGAACCGGCGAGUUACGAUCUGAUGCAAGGUUAAGCAGCAAAUGUGGAGCCGCAGCGAAAGCGAGUCUGAAUAGGGCGUUGAGUAUUUGGUCGUAGACCCGAAACCAGGUGAUCUACCCUUGGUCAGGUUGAAGUUCAGGUAACACUGAAUGGAGGACCGAACCGACUUACGUUGAAAAGUGAGCGGAUGAACUGAGGGUAGCGGAGAAAUUCCAAUCGAACUUGGAGAUAGCUGGUUCUCUCCGAAAUAGCUUUAGGGCUAGCCUCAAGUGAUGAUUAUUGGAGGUAGAGCACUGUUUGGACGAGGGGCCCCUCUCGGGUUACCGAAUUCAGACAAACUCCGAAUGCCAAUUAAUUUAACUUGGGAGUCAGAACAUGGGUGAUAAGGUCCGUGUUCGAAAGGGAAACAGCCCAGACCACCAGCUAAGGUCCCAAAAUAUAUGUUAAGUGGAAAAGGAUGUGGCGUUGCCCAGACAACUAGGAUGUUGGCUUAGAAGCAGCCAUCAUUUAAAGAGUGCGUAAUAGCUCACUAGUCGAGUGACACUGCGCCGAAAAUGUACCGGGGCUAAACAUAUUACCGAAGCUGUGGAUUGUCCUUUGGACAAUGGUAGGAGAGCGUUCUAAGGGCGUCGAAGCAUGAUCGCAAGGACAUGUGGAGCGCUUAGAAGUGAGAAUGCCGGUGUGAGUAGCGAAAGACGGGUGAGAAUCCCGUCCACCGAUUGACUAAGGUUUCCAGAGGAAGGCUCGUCCGCUCUGGGUUAGUCGGGUCCUAAGCUGAGGCCGACAGGCGUAGGCGAUGGAUAACAGGUUGAUAUUCCUGUACCACCUAGUAUCGUUUUAAUCGAUGGGGGGACGCAGUAGGAUAGGCGAAGCGUGCUGUUGGAGUGCACGUCCAAG